ensembl:lncRNA
GGGUGCCAUGGGCUGACCCUAUAGGUGCCAUGGGGUGACCCUAUAAGUACAAUUGGGUGACCCUAUCGGUGCCAUGGGGUGCCAUAGGGUGACCCUAUAGGUGCCAUGGGGUGACCCUAUAAGUACAAUUGGGUGACCCUAUAGGUGCCAUGGGGUGCUAUUGGGUGACCCUAUAGGUGCCAUAGGGUGACCCUAUGAGUACCAUAGGGUGCCAUUGGGUGACCCUAUAAGUACAAUUGGGUGACCCUAUAGGUGCCAUAGGGUGCCAUUGGGUGCCAUGGGGUGACCCUAUAGGUGCCAUGGGGUGACCCUAUAAGUACAAUUGGGUGACCCUAUAGGUGCCAUAGGGUGCCAUUGGGUGCCAUGGGGUGACCCUAUAGGUGCCAUGGGGUGACCCUAUAAGUACAAUUGGGUGACCCUACAGGUGCCAUAGGGUGCCAUUGGGUGCCAUGGGGUGACACUAUAGGUGCCAUAGGGUGCCAUGGGGUGCCAUGGGGUGACCCUACAGGUGCCAUAGGGUGCCAUUGGGUGCCAUGGGGUGACCCUAUAGGUGCCAUAGGGUGCCAUGGGGUGCCAUGGGGUGACCCUCCAGGUGCCAUGGGGUGCCAUGGGGUGCCAUGGGGUGACCCUACAGGUACCAUAGGGUGCCAUGGGGUGACCCUACAGGUGCCAUAGGGUGCCAUUGGGAGCCAUGGGGUGACCCUACAGGUGCCAUAGGGUUCCAUGGGGUGCCAUGGGGUGACCCUCCAGGUGCCAUGGGAUGCCAUUGGGAGCCAUGGGGUGACCCUACAGGUGCAAUUGGGAGCCAUGGGGUGACCCUACAGGUGCCCUUGGGUGAUCCUAUAGGUGCCAUAGGGUCCCGUUGGGUGCCAUGGGGUGACCCUACAGGUGCCAUAGGGUGCCAUUGGGUGCCAUUGGGUGCCCUUGGGUGACCCUAUGAGUACCAUAGGGUGCCAUGGGGUGCCAUUGGGAGCCAUGGGGUGACCCUACAGGUGCCAUAGGGUUCCAUGGGGUGCCAUGGGGUGACCCUACAGGUGCCAUAGGGAGCCAUUGGGUGCCAUGGGGUGACCCUAUGGGUGCCAUGGAGUGCCAUUGGAUGAUCCUAUGAGUACCAUAGGGUGCCACUGGGUGAUCCUCCAGGUGCCAUGGGGUGCCAUGGGGUGCCAUUGGGAGCCAAGGGGUGACCCUACAGGUGCCAUAGGGUGCCACUGGAUGCCAUUGGGUGCCCUUGGGUGACCCUCCAGGUGCCAUGGGGUGCCAUUGGGAGUCAUGGGGUGACGCUCCAGGUGCCAUUGGAGCCAUGGGGUGCCAUGGGGUGACCCUAGAGGUGCCAUGGGGUGCCAUGGGGUGACCCUACAGGUGCCUUAGGGUGCCAUUGGGAGCCAUGGGGUGACCCUACAGGUGCCAUAGGGUGCCAUUGGGUGCCAUGGGGUGCCCCUCCAGGUGCCAUGGGGUGCCAUGGGGUGACCCUACAGGUGCCAUAGGGUGCCAUGGGGUGCCAUGGGGUGCCCCUCCAGGUGCCAUGGGGUGCCAUGGGGUGACCCUACAGGUGCCAUAGGGUGGCAUGGAGUGCCAUGGGGUGACCCUCCAGGUGCCAUGGGGUGCCAUGGGGUGACCCUACAGGUACCAUAGGGUGCCAUGGGGUGACCCUCCAGGUGCCUUAGGGUGCCAUUGGGAGCCAUGGGGUGACCCUACAGGUGCCAUAGGGUGCCAUAGGGUGCCAUUGGAGCCAAGGGGUGACCCUCCAGGUGCCAUAGGGUGCCACUGGGUGCCAUGGGGUGAUCCUACAGGUGCCAUGGGGUGCCAUUGGGAGCCAUGGGGUGACCCUCCAGGUGCCAUGGGGUGCCACUGGGUGCCAUGGGGUGAUCCUACAGGUGCCAUAGGGUGCCAUUGGGUGCCAUGGGGUGCCAUGGGGUGACCCUACAGGUGCCAUAGGGUGCCAUGGGGUGCCAUGGGGUGACCCUACAGGUGCCAUGGGGUGCCAUGGGGUGCCAUGGGGUGACCCUCCAGGUGCCAUGGGGUGCCCUUGGGUGAUCCUAUAGGUGCCUCUGGGUGCCAUUGGGAGCCAUGGGGUGACCCUACAGGUGCCAUAGGGUGCCAUAGGGUGCCAUUGGGUGAUCCUAUGAGUACCAUAGGGUGCUAUGGGGUGCCAUAGGGUGCCAUGGGGUGCCAUGGGGUGACCCUACAGGUGCCAUAGGGUGCCAUAGGGUGUCACUGGAUGCCAUUGGGUGCCAUUGGUGACCCUACAGGUGCCAUAGGGUGCCAUGGGGUGCCAUAGGGUGCCCUCGGGUGACCCUAUGGGUACCAUAGGGUGCCAUUGGGUGCCAUUGGGUGCCCUUGGGUGACCCUAUGAGUACCAUAGGGUGCCAUGGGGUGCCAUAGGGUGCCAUUGGGAGCCAUGGGGUGACCCUAUGAGUACCAUAGGGUGCCAUUGGGUGCCAUUGGGUGAUCCUACAGGUGCCAUAGGGUGCCCUUGGGUGACCCUAUGAGUACCAUAGGGUGCCAUGGGGUGCCCUUGGGUGAUCCCAUAGGUGCCAUAGGGUGCCAUUGGGUGCCAUGGGCUGACCCUAUAGGUGCCAUAGGGUGACACUGGGAGACAUUGUGUGACCCUACAGGUGCCAUAGGGUGCCAUGGGGUGACCCUACAGGUGCCAUGGGGUGCCAUGGGGCACCAUUGGGUGCCAUUGGUGACCCUACAGGUGCCAUAGGGUGCCAUAGGGUGCCAUUGGGUGCCAUGGGGUGACCCUCCAGGUGCCAUGGGGUGCCAUGGGGUGCCAUGGGGUGACCCUCCAGGUGCCAUGGGGUGCCAUGGGGUGCCAUGGGGUGACCCUCCAGGUGCCUUAGGGUGCCAUUGGGAGCCAUGGGGUGACCCUACAGGUGCCAUAGGGUGCCAUAGGGUGCCAUGGGGUGCCAUGGGGUGACCCUACAGGUGCCUUAGGGUGCCAUUGGGUGCCAUGGGGUGACCCUCCAGGUGCCAUGGGGUGCCAUUGGGUGCCAUGGGGUGACCCUACAGGUGCCUUAGGGUGAUCCUAUAGGUGCCAUGGGGUGACCCUACAGGUGCCAUAGGGUGCCAUGGGGUGCCAUGGGGUGACCCUACAGGUGCCAUAGGGUGCCAUAGGGUGCCCUUGGGUGACCCUAUGAGUACCAUAGGGUGCCAUGGGGUGCCAAUGGGUGCCCUUGGGUGAUCCCAUAGGUGCCAUAGGGUGCCAUUGGGUGCCAUGGGGUGACCCUAUAGGUGCCAUAGGGUGACACUGGGAGACAUUGUGUGACCCUACAGGUGCCAUAGGGUGCCAUGGGGCACCAUUGGGUGCCAUUGGUGACCCUACAGGUGCCAUAGGGUGCCAUAGGGUGCCAUUGGGAGUCAUGGGGUGACCCUACAGGUGCCAUAGGGUGCCAUUGGGUGCCAUGGGGUGACCCUACAGGUGCCAUGGGGUGCCAUGGGGUGCCAUGGGGUGACCCUACAGGUACCAUAGGGUGCCAUGGGGUGCCAUGGGGUGCCAUGGGGUGACCCUCCGGGUGCCAUGGGGUGCCAUGGGGUGCCAUGGGGUGACCCUACCGGUGCCAUGGGGUGCCAUGGGGUGCCAUGGGGUGACCCUACAGGUGCCAUUGGGUGCCAUGGGGUGACCCUACAGGUGCCAUAGGGUGCCAUGGGGUGCCAUGGGGUGACCCUCCAGGUGCCAUAGGGUGCCAUAGGGUGCCAUAGGGUGCCAUUGGAGCCAUGGGGUGACCCUCCAGGUGCCAUGGGGUGCCAUUGGGAGCCAUGGGGUGACCCUCCAGGUGCCAUGGGGUGCCAUUGGGAGCCAUGGGGUGACACUACAGGUGCCAUAGGGUGCAAUUGGGUGCCAUGGGGUGACCCUACAGGUGCCAUAGGGUGCCAUUGGAGCCAUGGGGUGACCCUAUGGGUGCCAUGGAGUGCCAUUGGAUGAUCCUAUGAGUACCGUAGGGUGCCAUAGGGUGAUCCUACAGGUGCCAUAGGGUGCCACUGGGUGCCAUGGGGUGAUCCUACAGGUGCCAUGGGGUGCCAUGGGGUGCCAUGGGGUGACCCUAUGGGUGCCAUGGGGUGCCAUGGGGUGACCCUAUAGGUGCCAUAGGGUGCCAUGGGGUGCCAUAGGGUGACCCUCCAGGUGCCAUGGGGUGCCAUGGGGUGACCCUACAGGUGCCAUGGGGUGCCAUUGGGUGCCAUGGGGUGACCCUACAGGUGCCAUGGGGUGCCAUGGGGUGACCCUCCAGGUGCCAUGGGGUGCCAUUGGGUGCCAUGGGGUGCCAUGGGGUGACCCUCCAGGUGCCAUGGGGUGCCAUGGGGUGACCCUCCAGGUGCCAUUGGAGCCAUGGGGUGCCAUGGGGUGACCCUCCAGGUGCCAUGGGGUGCCAUGGGGUGACCCUAUGGGUGCCAUGGGGUGCCAUGGGGUGCCAUGGGGUGACCCUACAGGUGCCAUAUGGUGCCAUGGGGUGCCAUGGGGUGACCCUCCAGGUGCCAUGGGGUGCCAUGGGGUGCCAUGGGGUGCCAUUGGGAGCCAUGGGGUGACCCUCCAGGUGCCAUGGGGUGCCAUAGGGUUCCAUGGGGUGCCAUGGGGUGACCCUCCAGGUGCCAUGGGGUGCCAUGGGGUGCCAUGGGGUGACCCUCCAGGUGCCAUGGGGUGCCAUGGGGUGCCAUGGGGUGACCCUCCAGGUGCCAUGGGGUGACAUUGGGAGCCAUGGGGUGACCCUCCAGGUGCUAUGGGGUGACAUUGGGAGCCAUGGGGUGACCCUCCAGGUGCUAUGGGGUGCCAUGGGGUGCCAUGGGGAGCCAUGGGGUGACCCUCCAGGUGCUAUGGGGUGCCAUUGGGAGCCAUGGGGUGACCCUCCAGGUGCCAUGGGGUGCCAUGGGGUGCCAUGGGGUGACCCUCCAGGUGCCAUGGGGUGCCAUGGGGUGCCAUGGGGUGACCCUCCAGGUGCCAUGGGGUGCCAUGGGGUGACCCUAUGGGUGCCAUGGGGUGCCAUGGGGUGCCAUGGGGUGACCCUCCAGGUGCCAUGGGGUGCCAUGGGGUGACCCUACAGGUGCCAUAGGGUGCCAUAGGGUGCCAUGGGGUGCUAUGGGGUGCCAUGGGGUGCUGUCGGUUGUCCAUAGGCCCGGGCUGCGCUGGCGCUGUCGGUGCUGAGCGCGGUGUUGGCUGUCCUGCAGUUGGUGAUGCAGGGGGUGCUGCUGCCCAACGGCUGCGGGCGCUGCUGGGCCAUGGCGCCCCACGUGCAGGUCAGGGGGUCAGAGGUCACGG